UGUUAAAAUUUUUAUCUAUCUAUACUAUUAGAAAUUAGUCUGGCUAACGAAAUAACCCAGUAGUGACACAUGACAUACCGUGUGUACCUCAUGCUAAUAUAUAGAAACAAAUUUUUAACAGUAAAAAUGUAUAAAUUUUUUAAUA
rnacentral:pre_miRNA from 1 species